rnacentral:rRNA from 1 species
AACGAACGCUGGCGGCAUGCCUAACACAUGCAAGUCGAACGGGAUCCUAGCUUGCUAGGUGAGAGUGGCGGACGGGUGAGUAACACGUGGGAAUCUGCCUUUUGGUUCGGGAUAACCGCGGGAAACUGCGGCUAAUACCGAAUGCCCUCGAGAGAGGAAAGAUUUAUCGCCAGAAGAGGAGCCCGCGUCCGAUUAGGUAGUUGGUGGGGUAAAGGCCUACCAAGCCGACGAUCGGUAGCUGGUCUGAGAGGAUGAUCAGCCAACACUGGGACUGAGAUACGGCCCAGACUCCUACGGGAGGCGAGCAGUGGGGAAUAUUGGACAAUGGGGGCAACCCUGAUCCAGCAAUGCCGCGUGAGUGAUGAAGGCCUUAGGGUGUAAAGCUCUUUUGCCAGGAGAUGAUGACUGUACCUGGAGAAUAAGCCCCGGCUAACUUCGUGCCAGCAG